UUGCCGGGUAGCUAAGUUCGGAAGAGAUAACCGCUGAAAGCAUCUAAGCGGGAAACUUGCCUUAAGAUGAGAUUUCCCGGAGCCUUGAGCUCCUUGAAGGGUCGUUCGAGACCAGGACGUUGAUAGGUCAGGUGUGGAAGUGCAGUAAUGCAUUAAGCUAACUGAUACUAAUUGCCCGUACGGCUUGUCCCUAUAACCUUAGCAGGUU
rnacentral:rRNA from 1 species